rnacentral:rRNA from 1 species
GAUGAACGCUGGCGGCGUGCCUAAUACAUGCAAGUCGAGCGAACAGACGAGGAGCUUGCUCCUCUGACGUUAGCGGCGGACGGGUGAGUAACACGUGGAUAACCUACCUAUAAGACUGGGAUAACUUCGGGAAACCGGAGCUAAUACCGGAUAAUAUUUUGAACCGCAUGGUUCAAUAGUGAAAGACGGUUUUGCUGUCACUUAUAGAUGGAUCCGCGCCGCAUUAGCUAGUUGGUAAGGUAACGGCUUACCAAGGCAACGAUGCAUAGCCGACCUGAGAGGGUGAUCGGCCACACUGGAACUGAGACACGGUCCAGACUCCUACGGGAGGCAGCAGUAGGGAAUCUUCCGCAAUGGGCGAAAGCUUGACGGAGCAACGCCGCGUGAGUGAUGAAGGUCUUCGGAUCGUAAAACUCUGUUAUUAGGGAAGAACAAAUGUGUAAGUAACUAUGCACAUCUUGACGGUACCUAAUCAGAAAGCCACGGCUAACUACGUG